rnacentral:rRNA from 1 species
UACGUAGGGGGCAAGCGUUGUCCGGAUUUAUUGGGCGUAAAGAGCGUGUAGGCGGCUUUACAGGUCCGUUGUGAAAACUCGAGGCUCAACCUCGAGACGCCGGUGGAAACCGUAAAGCUAGAGUCCGGAAGAGGAGAGUGGAAUUCCUGGUGUAGCGGUGAAAUGCGCAGAUAUCAGGAAGAACACCAAUGGCGAAGGCAGCUCGCUGGGACGGUACUGACGCUGAGGCGCGAAAGCGUGGGGAGCAAACAGG